rnacentral:rRNA from 1 species
AGAGUUUGAUCCUGGCUCAGGAUGAACGCUGGCGGCGUGCCUAACACAUGCAAGUCGAACGGGAUCCUUGGAUUCGUCCGAGGUGAGAGUGGCGAACGGGUGAGUAACACGUAGGUGACCUGCCCCGAAGCGGGGAAUAACCAUUGGAAACGGUGGCUAAUACCCCAUGUGCUCCAUGGUUCGUUCUGUGGAGUAAAGUCCCCGCAAGGGGUGCGCUUCGGGAGGGGCCUGCGGCCCAUCAGGUAGUUGGUAGGGUAAUGGCCUACCAAGCCUAUGACGGGUAGGGGGCGUGAGAGCGUGACCCCCCACACUGGCACUGAGAUACGGGCCAGACUCCUACGGGAGGCAGCAGUGAGGAAUAUUGCCCAAUGGACGAAAGUCUGAGGCAGCAACGCCGCGUGGGCGACGAAGGCCUUCGGGUUGUAAAGCCCUUUUCCGGGGGACGAGUAAGGACGGUACCCCAGGAAUAAGUCACGGCUAACUACGUGCCAGCAGCCGCGGUAAUACGUAGGUGGCAAGCGUUAUCCGGAUUCAUUGGGCGUAAAGCGCGUGCAGGCGGUUCCGUAAGUCGGAUGUGAAAGCUCCUGGCUUAACUGGGAGAGGUCGUUCGAUACUGCGGGGCUUGAGGUCGGGAGAGGGACGUGGAAUUCCCGGUGUAGUGGUGGAAUGCGUAGAUAUCGGGAGGAACACCAGUGGCGAAGGCGACGUCCUGGCCCGCACCUGACGCUAAGACGCGAAAGCGUGGGGAGCGACGGGAUUAGAUACCCCGGUAGUCCACGCUGUAAACGGUGGAUACUAGGUGUUGGUGGCUAUCGUCAUCAGUGCCGUAGCUAACGCGUUAAGUAUCCCGCCUGGGGACUACGGCCGCAAGGCUAAAACUCAAAGGAAUUGACGGG